UUCCGGUUGAUCCUGCCGGACUGACUGCUAUCGGAUUGGUACUAAGCCAUGCGAGUCAUUGUAGCAAUACAAGGCGGACGGCUCAGUAACACGUAGUCAACCUAACUCGUGGACGUGGAUAACCUCGGGAAACUGAGAAUAAACCGCGAUAGACCAUAGUGCCUGGAAUGGCCUAUGAUCAAAAUAGUUUACUGCCAUGGGAUGGGACUGCGGCCUAUCAGCUUGUUGGUGAGGUAAUGGCCCACCAAGGCGAUUACAGGUACGGGCUCUGAGAGGAGAAGCCCGGAGAUGGGUACUGAGACACGGACCCAGGCCCUAUGGGGCGCAGCAGGCGAGAAACCUUAGCAAUGUGCGAAAGCACGACUGGGUCAGUCCGAGUGAUUCCUGAUGAAGGAGUCUUUUGCUUGUCCUAAAAGCACAGGUGAAUAAGGGGUGGGCAAGUCUGGUGUCAGCCGCCGCGGUAAUACCAGCACCUCGAGUGG
rnacentral:rRNA from 1 species